AUUGAACGCUGGCGGCAGGCCUAACACAUGCAAGUCGAGCGGAUGAAGGGAGCUUGCUCCUGGAUUCAGCGGCGGACGGGUGAGUAAUGCCUAGGAAUCUGCCUGUUAGUGGGGGAUAACGUCCGGAAACGGGCGCUAAUACCGCAUACGUCCUGAGGGAGAAAGUGGGGGAUCUUCGGACCUUACGCUAUCAGAUGAGCCUAGGUCGGAUUAGCUAGUUGGUGGGGUAAAGGCCUACCAAGGCGACGAUCCGUAACUGGUCUGAGAGGAUGAUCAGUCACACUGGAACUGAGACACGGUCCAGACUCCUACGGGAGGCAGCAGUGGGGAAUAUUGGACAAUGGGCGAAAGCCUGAUCCAGCCAUGCCGCGUGUGUGAAGAAGGUCUUCGGAUUGUAAAGCACUUUAAGUUGGGAGGAAGGGCAGUAAGUUAAUACCUUGCUGUUUUGACGUUACCAACAGAAUAAGCACCGGCUAACUUCGUG
rnacentral:rRNA from 1 species